GAUGAACGCUGGCGGCGUGCCUAAUACAUGCAAGUCGAGCGAACGGACGAGAAGCUUGCUUCUCUGAUGUUAGCGGCGGACGGGUGAGUAACACGUGGAUAACCUACCUAUAAGACUGGGAUAAUUUCGGGAAACCGGAGCUAAUACCGGAUAAUAUUUUGAGCCGCAUGGUUCAAAAGUGAAAGACGGUCUUGCUGUCACUUAUAGAUGGAUCCGCGCUGCAUUAGCUAGUUGGUAAGGUAACGGCUUACCAAGGCAACGAUGCAUAGCCGACCUGAGAGGGUGAUCGGCCACACUGGAACUGAGACACGGUCCAGACUCCUACGGGAGGCAGCAGUAGGGAAUCUUCCGCAAUGGGCGAAAGCCUGACGGAGCAACGCCGCGUGAGUGAUGAAGGUCUUCGGAUCGUAAAACUCUGUUAUUAGGGAAGAACAUAUGUGUAAGUAACUGUGCACAUCUUGACGGUACCUAAUCAGAAAGCCACGGCUAACUACGUG
rnacentral:rRNA from 1 species